CCAAAUUUUCACCUGGCUCCCGGACUAUGUGCAUCAUUAAUCAAAACGUUUACCCAUGAUGGGGAAAUAGAAGAGUGGAUUGCCGAUGACGAUAGCGUUGAACUGCGGGGAUAUGUUGAUCAGAUUGAGGGCCUAUAAUCUGUUGUCUCACGGGGAUCUAAAAAGACGGAAAUAUUUAAGAUAGUUGUCAAUAAUGGUGGUAAAAGUCGAGUCCACGUGCUCUUCUGGGGAUCCGAUGCUACCAAGUACUCAUCACUUAUUUACGAUCACACUAUCAUCACGAUCACACGAGGGAAAACCCAGACGCCUAACCCCAGAUUCGCUAACCCCAACGAAGUUGUCGCUGCUUUAGAGGUUGCAGUUCUUUCUUCAACUGACGUUGAAAUUGAUGCUAAAACGUUUGAAGAGACAGUUGAUGUUUUGAAAAUUCCCACCGUCAAAUUGAAAGAUGCCGUGAAUACUGAUGGGCCCAUGUUUGUGACUGCAUGUAUCAAGCAACCAUUCAAACUUGUAACAUCGUACAGCGUCAGCUAUGGUGGAGGGGUUGUCGUUGAUGGAGAAUACCGGCUUCGAGUUAAAAUAGCAAAGUAUGAUACAAAUGUUACUCAUCCUAAAGGUAAUUUCAUUCGUUUCCGCUGUCAAUCAUUCACGGAUCAUCGUAGCAUACCGGGCCUUACUGUCAGAAGUAUGGAUGACAUUGAACAUAUUAAAGACGAG